GCCCGGCGCGGUGGCGCGCGCCUGUAGUCCCAGCUACUCGGGAGGCUGAGGCAGGAGGAUCGCUUGAGCCCAGGAGUUCUGGGCUGUAGUGCGCUAAGCCGAUCGGGUGUCCGCACUAAGUUCGGCAUCAAUAUGGUGACCUCCCGGGAGCGGGGGACCACCAGGUUGCCUAAGGAGGGGUGAACCGGCCCAGGUCGGAAACGGAGCAGGUCAAAACUCCCGUGCUGAUCAGUAGUGGGAUCGCGCCUGUGAAUAGCCACUGCACUCCAGCCUGGGCAACAUAGCGAGACCCCGUCUCUU
rfam:Mustela putorius furo unplaced genomic scaffold scaffold00342, whole genome shotgun sequence.